rnacentral:lncRNA from 1 species
CCAAAACAAUACAAAAAAGAUGAGGUCUCAAGCUUUUGUAUUGGCCCUAAAGGCUAUUUUUGUUGUCUUCUUCUUUCUCUUGAUCUCGAGUGCAAUGUGCACCAGACCCGUAAAGGAUAGUUCUUUGGCUGAUCCGAUGAUGGUCAGGUUUAGAAUCGAAAGGGCAUACUCGGGACCAAGUCGACGUGGACCGGGGCAUUAGCCGGUGGCCUUCUCGUUUCUGUUUCUGCUCAACCUACUCGAGUAUAACUGUCUUGUUGUCCUGUCUUCUCAAAAAGUUACAUACAGAUUUAACUAAGAGGUUGUUGUAGAAUCUUGUGUCUCUGCUUAUUGCAUAAAAGAACAAGCUCCUGCAACAUCAAGUAGGGAAUUAAGUUGUUCAUUUAAUCUUUUGACAAGUUUUUGUACUUUUAGGUUUAGCAGGUCAUGUGUACACAUUGUUUGGUUAAUGUGAAAAU